GGGCUUGACAUCCCACGAACCUGACUGAAAGGUCGGUGUGCCGCCGCAAGGCGGGGCGGAGAGACAGGUGCUGCAUGGCUGUCGUCAGCUCGUGCCGUGAGGUGUUCGGUUAAGUCCCGCAACGAGCGCAACCCUUGUCUGCUGUUGCCAUCAGGUAAAGCUGGGCACUCUGCGGAGACUGCCGGUGACAAACCGGAGGAAGGUGGGGAUGACGUCAAGUCCGCAUGGCCUUUAUGUCCAGGGCCACACACGUGCUACAAUGGGCGGUACAAACCGUUGCGAUCCCGCGAGGGGGAGCUAAUCGGAGAAAGCCGCUCUCAGUUCGGAUUGCAGGCUGCAACUCGCCUGCAUGAAGUUGGAAUCGCUAGUAAUCGCGGAUCAGCACGCCGCGGUGAAUACGUUCCCGGGCCUUGUACACACCGCCCGUCACAUCACGAAAGCUGGCUGUACUCGAAGUCGCUGAG
rnacentral:rRNA from 1 species